rnacentral:tRNA from 1 species
CGGGACGUAGCUCAAUCUGGCAGAGCAAUGGACUGUAGUGGGCAACCGCUUUGGUCGUUGUCCGGAGAUAUCCAUCGGUUGCCGGUUCAAAUCCGGCCGUCCCGA